rnacentral:misc_RNA from 1 species
AACAUCGCGCACCUGCGGGAACCUGCGGAAGGAUCAUUACAGAGUUGCAAAACUCCCUAAACCAUUGUGAACGUUACCUAAACCGUUGCUUCGGCGGGCGGCCCGGGUCCUUCCCGGCGCCCAUCGGCCCUCGCGGGCGCCCGCCGGAGGUAAACCAAACUAUUGCAUUGUAUGGCCUCUCUGAGUCUUCUGUACUGAAUAAGUCAAAACUUUUAACAAUUGAUCUCAGAUCGGAAGAGC